UCAUGUGCUUCUAUAGUUGUAGUUCAGUAAACAAUGUUACUCAUAUGCCUUUGCUCCCUGGUGUAUUUCUGUGAGCUAGAAUCCUAGAGCAGAGUUUUUGGGUAGAAGGAUAUGUGUCGUGUAUAUUUUACUAAUACUACAAAAUGGUCUUAAUGUCCCUCCACAGAUUAUUGGGUUAUUUCACCUCAAUUAAGAUCUCAACAUUAUCAAUUUUUCAUACAUUUCUAAGUUGCAUUACUAUCUUUCUGGGUACCGCUUCUCAAUUGGCCAUGAAAGGGUGUCAGAGAAUAAAUGUGUUAGAUUGGCAAAAAUCAGCCUCAUGGAAAAUAGUCCAGCUCCAUCCUGCUAUUUGUCCCUGUUAGAGAAUAAUAGGCUGUGUACUGUUUUCAAGGCUGGAUGUAGUGGUGGAUUGGAUAAAAUAAAUGGGAGUCCUAGUUUUCUUUAUGAAGAGCUAGUAAAGAUUAUGUGAGGCAGGAUUCUGAAAGAAAGCAGAGGAAUAAAACCUCCUCUCCAAAGAGGUCCCAGAGGAUGACAAGCAUGCAAAGGAAAGAAAGGGGAAGGAAAUGCCACCUUGAUUCCCUGGGGAGUUCAAGAUCUCACUUUUCCCUCCUGUUGUUCUAGUCACUUUUAGAGAGGACAGUUCCAGAGAAAGAAGGUUUCAAAAAGAAAAGAAACCCAAUUGAAUUCACUUCUGUCUUACUUAUGUAAGAACACCUGUCAUGUGGUGUACAAUUCAUUCCAGGCAGACUCCUGAGAAAGACCACUUUGUAAACCACCCUUCUGUCAAGGAAAGGCCAACAAUUGUCCUUUGUCCAUGGACCCCUCCCAUCAUCCCACUAUGAAGUUGCUGGUUCAAGCUGCUGCAAGAGAAUACAGCAGAGGGCAAGCUUGCUCAGCUUGGGUUCAAAGAAAGUUUCUCAAAGAAGAUGACAAGUAAGAUGAAACUUGAAGAAUGAAACUGAUGAGGGAGAAGGGCGGUCCAGGGUCUGCUGUGUCAACUGUUUCCUAGCUGCAAGUGACAGAAGCUGAUGGUGACAGAUGAAGCAGAAAAAGGGUUUAUUAAAAGACCAUUGGUUGACUCAGAAUUGUUGAGAAGGCUCAAAGAAACAAUUGUGAGGUUAAGCCUCCAAGAAAAUCACCCCCAAUUAUGUAGCACAAUUGGCCUGAUGAGAAAUCUGCAGCCACAGCCCAUUACCACUCAGCGGCUAUCCUGCAAGGAACUCAAUGUGACUGUAACUGCUGCUGCUGAAGGCAUCACUUCUGUGUCAGGAACUAACUCUUAUAUUGCCCCUUUCACCAACUUCUCACAAGUGCACGUGAUCCGAGGAGCACCAAUCACAACCCUGUGUCCUAGCUGCAAAUGAAGGAGAGGAGGAAUAAGUAUUCUGCCUUCUAACUUGGUGGGACUCGAAACAGGAAAUUCUCCAAACAUCCAAAGGGUGUUCAAAAGGUGCCAGGUUCCGAGAGAUAAUAAUAGAUAUCCAUCAGAAUGGAUGACUUAGGCUGGGUAUGGUAGUCUUUAGUAUUUUUAAACUAUUUUCUAUAUAGUUUAAGACAAAGUAAUAAUUAUAUUGUAAUUAUGUUAAUAUUGUUAGGAACCAAGAUUUUCAGUGUAAGAGAAGAGAAAUAUAAAAUCAAAGACAUUAAUAUAAAUAAAUCAAUAUAAAUUUGAAUUAGAAAUAGUGUAAACGUCAAAGUUUUUUCCUCCAUUUUAAAGUACAUAUAUCCUAUUUUUGUACUUUUCAGAAAGGCCUAGAAGUAUGAAAAACCCAUGAGCAAUGAGUAACUUAUAGUGCCCAGAUUGUGGUCCCUAAAUGACAUUUCCCACGAAAAGGAAUCAGAACUUCUUGGAUGGCUGAUUCCAAGGCUAGGGUGGUACAUGUACAAGAUGAGGCUAGACUAUCUUGCUGAGCUAAAAGCUGCAAAGUUACCAAAGAUCAGUGGGUUGUAUAAAAAUAACCCAAGAACCAUCAGGAAGGGGCUCCAGCUGGCCAAAGAUGGGAUAAUUUAAGUUUCUGAAAAAGUAGUGACUGAAUACAGUUGAAAUACAUAGAAUACGUAAAAACCUAAUGUGUGCAUGAGGGGAAAAAGUGCCAAAACAAAUAAAUAAAUAAACUUAUUGGAUACCAUGGGCUCUAUCUAAUCCUUACUUUGAAAAUUGGCAAUUAGAGGGAAAUAACUAAGUACUGAGACAGCCAAAUGCCUGGACAAAAAAAGGGGGUCACUGGCGAAUCUCUAAACCGCCCUACAAGUGUCUACAUCAAAUACUUUUGUGCAGAUGAGGGAACCUACCCAGGGCCUCAUCUGAGCAUGCUCACAGAGGACUAGGGGAACAGGGUGGAGCCAGAGGGAGGCGAGGAGCCUGGCCUCUUCCGUUCCUAUGUGGUGGAAUAUUCAGUCUGUGAGGUACAGGGCCUGUUAGCCGGACUCUAUCUCAUUUGCGGAGUGUGUGUGUGUGUGUGUGUGUGUGUGUGUGUGUGUGUGUGUGUGUGUGUGUGUGUGUGUGUGUGUGUGUGUGUGUGUGUGUGUUGGGUUUUUUUUGGCUUUUUUUCCCUUUUUGUCCAAUAAAAUCCUUUGUACUCACCCUUCAAUGUGUCUGUGUGCCUACAUUUUCCUGGCUUAUGACAAGAACCUGGUUUUAGCUGAACUAAGGAGCAAAAUUCUGCAAUAUUUUGCUGCCCAGACAUGGGGCUUGAGGAUGCGUAAGUUGCGAGCCAAAAACUAUUUUUCCCUUUCACUUCUAAGCUUUUUUGUCCUUGUGCUUCUGAGGGUAGAGGAAAUUAUUCCUCCUUUCCCCACAGUCGCUCCUGGGGUUUGGGAAUGUCAGCCUCUGCCUUCUAUUUUCAGGGUGAUGGGCAAAUGGCGGCUUUCCCUCUCCCUUCCUGGACAGGGCUGGGGCACAUGGCCUCUGGCCCAAGGGUGCCCAAUAGGGCACAUCAAUUAAGUUUCUCUCCCUGUUGGAGGAACCCAUUUGUUUAAGAGCUUCUUUCCCCAGGCAUCUUUCCAACCCUGCACUUUUAAUUUUUUUUUCCUGUUCUCCACCCUGUCAGGAAUUAGCUUUUAAGUUAAAGACUCUUUUUCCUUUAAGAAAUAGUUUUUUCUAGGCCAGGAUCCCAUCACUGUUUAUAUUCUCUAUAAAGUUUUGAUUAAGGGGCCAGGUGCAUUGGCUCACACCUGCAAUCCCAGCACUUUGGGAGGCUGAGGUGGGCAGAUCACCUGAGGUCCGGAGUUGGAGACCAGCCUGGCCAACACGGUGAA